rnacentral:lncRNA from 1 species
UUUUCGAUUAACUUUGACAAAAAAAAAACAUAUAGUUAACUAAUCUAAACUUAAAACAUUAACUAUAAACCCUAAAUCAUCAACUCUAAAUCCUAAACCAUCAAACAUCAACUCUAAACCCUAAAUCCCGAAACAUCAACUCUAAACCCUAAACGUAAAACAUAAACCAUAAACCCUAAAUCUGAACUUAAAACAUCAAUGUAAACCUAAAUCAUCAACUUUAAACCCUAAACCAUGAAACAUCAACUGUAAACCCUAAACCCCAAAACAUCAACUCUAAACCCUAAACCCUAAACAUUCAAAUC